rnacentral:rRNA from 1 species
AGGAAAUAGAUACCCGGGUAGUCCACGCCGUAAACGAUGGAUACUAGCUGUUCGGAGCAAUCUGAGUGGCUAAAGCGAAAAGUGAUAAGUAUCCCACCUGGGGAGUACGCACGCAAGUGUGAAACUCAAAGGAAUUGACGGGGGCCCGCACAAGCGGUGGAGCAUGUGGUUUAAUUCGAUGAUACGCGAGGAACCUUACCAGGGCUUAAAUGUAGAUUGACAGGACUGGAAACAGUUUUUUCUUCGGACAAUUUACAAGGUGCUGCAUGGUUGUCGUCAGCUCGUGCCGUGAGGUGUCAGGUCAAGUCCUAUAACGAGCGCAACCCCUGUCGUUAGUUGCCAGCGAGUCAUGUCGGGAACUCUAACGAGACUGCCAGUGUAAACUGUGAGGAAGGUGGGGACGACGUCAAAUCAUCACGGCCCUUACGUCCUGGGCCACACACGUGCUACAAUGGUAGGUACAGAGAGCAGCCACUGCGCGAGCAGGAGCGAAUCUACAAAACCUAUCUCAGUUCGGAUCGGAGUCU